ensembl:snRNA U6 U6 spliceosomal RNA
GCGCUCACCUCAGCAGCACAUCUACUAACAUUGGAAUAAUACAGAGAAGAUUAGCAUGGCCCCUGCAUAAGGAGGACACACAAAUUCGUGAAACAUUCCAUAUAAAA